GUGGGGAAUCUUAGACAAUGGGGGCAACCCUGAUCUAGCCAUGCCGCGUGAGUGAUGAAGGCCUUAGGGUUGUAAAGCUCUUUCAGUGGGGAAGAUAAUGACGGUACCCACAGAAGAAGCCCCGGCUAACUCCGUGCCAGCAGCCGCGGUAAUACGGAGGGGGCUAGCGUUGUUCGGAAUUACUGGGCGUAAAGCGCACGUAGGCGGAUCGGAAAGUUGGGGGUGAAAUCCCAGGGCUCAACCCUGGAACUGCCUUCAAAACUAUCGGUCUGGAGUCCGAGAGAGGUGAGUGGAAUUCCGAGUGUAGAGGUGAAAUUCGUAGAUAUUCGGAGGAACACCAGUGGCGAAGGCGGCUCACUGGCUCGGUACUGACGCUGAGGUGCGAAAGCGUGGGGAGCAAACAGGAUUAGAUACCCCGGUAGUCC
rnacentral:rRNA from 1 species